rnacentral:rRNA from 1 species
UACGGGAGGCAGCAGUGGGGAAUAUUGGACAAUGGGGGCAACCCUGAUCCAGCCAUGCCGCGUGUGUGAAGAAGGCUUUCGGGUUGUAAAGCACUUUCAGUGAGGAGGAAAACCUUAUGGCUAAUAUCCAUGAGGCUUGACGUUACUCACAGAAGAAGCACCGGCUAACUCCGUGCCAGCAGCCGCGGUAAU